AAAAUAAACUAUUGUGACACUUUUGACCUCAUGAGUUAUACAAGCUUCCUUCAUGAUUGACAAAAGCAACUUUCAGUGCAACAGCUGAUCUUUAUUUCUUUACACCAAGAGAUACAGAGAAUUCUCUAAGUGAUAACAUAACCUUUGCAACAGCCUUAAAAAUCCUUCACUAUCUACUGACUUCUGCAAAGUGAAGUAGGGAAAAACAAUGAAAGUCACAUCAGCAUUUUAUUUCAUUCUUUUAUAAGUGUAAACAUAGUCAUUCCCCAUAUGUGAGAACUUACCACCAACCUGCGAUCUGGGUAACUGUUUCCUUGAAAAUAACAGCAACUUCAUAACCCCUUCUGUACCUAGAUCUUCUGCAUUUGGCUUCCAGGCAGUGAUUACUACUUCCACUGAAUGCUUUAGCUGUUAGAUAAAAACCCCACUGCCCAAGGUUCCCAUCUCUUUGUUCAACUCCACUUCAAGAGGAGGCAGAAUUUCUUACCAUAUUCAGAAAGCCAAGACUGGUAAAGCAUGGCACAACAGCACUUAUCCAACCAAAAUAAUGUAGAACUAGAACUAAAUUGGAAAUGGGAAUGUGGUGUGUGUGUGUUGCUGGACUGUGGAGUCAUCUAAUUUUGAAACAUGAACAUUUCAAACAUCCUCUGCACAACUCACCUUAUUUCACCCUUCCUCCUUUCUUCAACAUUUACUCCAUAAACAUCACAGCCUUUACCUGAAAUAUUUUGACCUUCCUUUUACUUCCUCUCCCUUCUGCCUCAUCCUCCCUUUCCCUACUCUCUGCUAUCUACUGUUCGGGUCAUUUAGCAAUGUGCUGAGAUAUUCCUUCUCAGUGGUAAGUUUGCAGUUGAAUGAGAACAUGCCGGAAAACACGACCAGAGAAUAAAAGUGUGAACUGUAUCAUUCACCACAAUGGGUAGUCUCAUUCCCACGCUCAAAGUUCAAGAGCUUGUGGGUCUACACCACAGACCAAACAUGGCAGCUCUUAAUACCGUAUGACUGGUUCAUACUUCAAAUCUGUGUCUUUCCAAUCUCUGCAAUCCCAACUCAGACUAAGGCCUCCACUUUCCCAUUAUUUUUUUCUACUAAUAGGCAUUAUGACCUCAGCAAUUAUUCAGUGCACCCCUUAGAAACAAGCCUGAAACACUGAGAUUGAUCUCUGCUUUUCUUUAAUAUGCAGCCACCUCUGUGUUGUUAGCACACCCUAAAACAGGCAGUGAGCAAUUAGCAACAGAUGCAGACACCUGUAUCUUGAGAACUCUGUCCAAACGAACCCACAUUUAAGAGAAGUUAGACCUACCCUAGUUCUGCCUAGGCAUAAUAAAUGUCAAACACUUGGGAUUUUGUAGUUUAGAUCAAUCAUCUUUUAAGCAAUAGGCAAAUGCCAACCUGAACUCUAAGUGAACUACUACUCUACCGAAGCACUGUUCUGCCUAUUGUCCUCAUGCACUACACUUAAAAAUGACCACAUGAGAAUUUGAGGGUACAUGAAUUUCACUCAGCUUGCUCUGGAAUGAGGAAGGCUGUGAGAGAACCAGCAAACAAAGGGAAAUUACCUGCAGCAGCAACUGCAGAACAAACAACACCGUUAUAAAUAUCCUUCCUCUAGAGGAACUAUAUUAUUGUGGAGGAAUUAUAUUAUUAAGAAUGGCUACUUCAGAACCUAUUUUACAAUAACUAUUCAGUCUACUUCCCUGUACAGAAAUGCCAAAUGCUACCUUUGCUCAAAGCAAAAUUAAGCCCUAAACUUAGAAACAACUGCAUUCUCCAGUCCUGUUCAACAGGCCAAUGCACCCAGGCCACCGAAUCUUCUUGCUCGUGCUCUUUCCAAAUGGAGUAAGCUGCAGCUAAGGCAAAGUGUUCAGAAGGUGAUAAAAAAUUACUUCUGGGUGCCAUCUUUCCCAACAGCUUGCAGAUCUUUGACAUGACUUGUUGGCCAUGUGUCUGGACAUUUGGCAGAGGGGGAGCAAAAAAGAAAGGCCAAGAGUAGGCUUCAUUAGUUGUUCGGACCUUGUUGUGCCUGCCUUGGCUAUCCUCUGCCCUGGACAAUCUGUGGCGGGAUGCGGACUUUGGACAGGAAUUAUGUGCAUGCACUCUAUUGGUUUUGUGCCUGUACUUUCAAGGGAAGCUAGUUCACUCUGCUGUAGAAAUACUGCGGCUAAAACCUGUGACUGGGAGAGACUGAGGUAUGUAUCCUCUCCUCUACCACUUCAAAAGUCUGGUGCAAUCAACCUAGAAAGACUAAAUGCCCCUGCUCAAUGUAAUCCUCCCACAACAAGUAAAGAGAAGGAAAUUCUUAAACUCAUAAAGCUUUUUAAUUGGAAAACAACGGAGACGCUUAUGAUUUAAUCCACUGGCAACACUAUAAAUCUGUUUCAUUAACGGAUAAAUAUUACUUUGAGUAUACUCGAGAAUUCUAGAACUAAGAAAUUUUUGUGAAAGUAAAAAUACUUUUUUUUUUUUUUAAAUAAACCAACGAUCACCAAAAUGCUCAGCUAAAACCUACAGGAAAUAAAGUACAAUAAAUUUCACAGUCAAAAUCCUAAGCCCUGUGAGAACUCUGAUUUGAAAUUUCUAUUGAGAAGCAGACUGCCUAAGAGCAAAUCUGGAAAAAAAAAAAAAUCUACAACUCCACAAGUAAACAGUGAGAACUGAACCUGUACGUGCAGGACUUCACACAGACCAGAAACUUGCACCUACAUAUGCACUUGAUUGAAAGAACAUUAAAACUGAAGAUUAGUGUGCGCAGAAGUUCAGAAACACCAGAAUACUUCCACAGUUUUAAUUUAGUCACUCUAUGUAAAUAAAUUAUGAUACUAUCUAGCUACAUGAAUACCCGUAUUUACUUUAAAAGGUGGAAUGGAAGUAAUGCUCACUGAAUAGGCUGCUACACAAUACAAUUUAUUUUCAUUGUAUUUAACUUAAUAUCCCUUGAUACUCCUCAGACUGUGCCCAAAUAAAAUUAUUGUCUGCAUAUAUAUUGUAUAUGGUAGUUGUUGUUGUACCUAUGUAAUUCAUAAUUUCUUUCUGCAGUAUUCUUAUGAGAUUGGGUUUUAUUCUACCUACAGAAAAACAAGGAGACAUAGGUUAAAGACGAGAAGGUUUCGUGAUUUGAAAUUUCUGAUUUCAUAUAAAGACUUUAUAAAGACUAGGAACAUACAUUAGUCAGUAAAUCUGUUUAGCAGAACUCCGGACAGAAGUUUUAUAGGAAGUUUCAAAAAUUUGGGAAAAGUAAGCCAAAUGAGAGGUCUGAAAGAGAUGUUCCUUUCUGCUCACAUUCAGAACCAAGCAAGAAGGGGUGCUAGAUUCAUGUUGGACUAAGGACUGAAAAGAAGCAUAGUUCUUUCAAACAUCAGGGCACUAACAUGGGAAUUCCUUCACAUAUCAAAACAAAGAUCCAUUCAAAUCAGUAUCCUGUCUCUGAAAGUGGUCAACGGCAGUCAUCUUGGAAGACAGCAACACGGCAAGCAGUUUGUGCCAGGCAUGUUCUUCCAGCCUCCAGUCCAGGAAUUAUGUGAAGCAGAGUCUUUGUUACUAACAUAUUUUGCUCAUUCUUUUCUUCUACGGAUUUGCUGAACAACUUUUUGCAUUUCAGCUUUUGGCAUCCCAUGGCAAAAGGCUCCACAGUUUACUCUAAGGCUGCAUUAAGCACCACCCCCUUUCGUUUGUCAGGAACCUGCCAUUCUCCUGUGAUGGCCUCUGCUGAACAGUCACAAAAAUUAAGGCUGCCUUCCAGCAAAGGGGCAACAAUACAGAUUAGCAAUUUUGUUUAUUCUACUGUUGCAGGCUGGGUUUAUUUUUUUAAGCUCCUUUUUGACACAUCUUCAUGUGAUCCUCCAGGAGAGGAUAUUCUAAUAUGUAGAGAAGAAGAAACAUUCUCUAUAAAGUAACUGUAUACACACCAACAUAUUUCUUAUUGAAGCUUUUAUUUUUUCUUAAUAUACAUUGCAUAUUCUUCAGAAGUUUUCCUACCACUUUGUAACUCCAUCUAACUCUUCUUCAUAAACAUGUAGCUUGAGAAACACUGGUCAAAUUCAAGUAGUUUGGCUGAUGAUUCAGCCUAAUCUGACAUUUAUAUUACACCAAAUGUAAUAUGUGAAUCAGAAUAGCUGAGCCAUCAAUACUUAAUGAUUAAUUAUUCAAUAAAUAUUUUAAAAGACUAACAUCUGCUUAAAAAGGGGAAAAAAAAUUUAAAUCUUCAAAACAACAAAACAGUCAUUUUUCAGAGGACAUCAAUGCUGGUGAAAAUAUGCCAAGACUAGUGUUCUGAUACUUCUUUUUUCUCUCCCUCUACAAACCUAUGCUUAUUUUAAAGUUUCAAGCAGUUAUGUCUACAGUUAUAAAGUUUACAAGUUCUGUAAUUUAAUGAAAAUUCUGCCAUUUAAACAGCCUGGAUGUAAAGACAGUGGAAAAUGGCUCUCUUCUAUUUUACAAUCACGAUGAAAGUUCAUAACAGCUUUUAAAAUAGAAAUAAAGAAUAAAGUCUGAAUAUCAUUCCAAAUAAAAGUUUAAAAACUACUACUUAAUCCCAACUACAUAAGCAUACUUAAUGUAGCUGAAAGGCCCACACCUCCCAAUCAGUUCCCAGUGCAACCUGUGAAAGACACGGAUACAAACAGGAAACAAUGGUUAUGCAGAGAGUUCUGUCAAAUCAGUAAGUAAAAACGAGAAAAGGAUAAAAAAUACUUUGUUUAUAAGUCAUGGUAACCUUGUAAUACAGACAACAGAAAUUUAGUGACAAAGUUUAAAAUGACAUGACUGUGUGAAGUCAUUCCAUGCUAUAAAAGAACCUUUACACUCACAUUCCAGAAGCCUUCAAAAGCAAACGCCGCUUGAAGUUCACACAAAUUACUUUUUAUCUUAAGAUUUUUAACUUCGUAAAUGCACUAGAAAUUAGAUUUACCUCAGCUAUCAGUUUUCUGUAGAGUUUACAAAACAGUUGAAAAUGUAAAACAAAACCCUACCAAAAUAAAAAUCGGCUACUCUAACUUGGUCUAGCUUUGGUCUUCAUGGUGAGUUGUCUUAUAAAUGACUGCAGACUACUGCUCAUCUGAACCAAUGCUCUCACAGCUCACUUAGUCAACUCUAAGCAUUAAAUCUGGAGAAUGCCGUCUGUUCUUUUGGUAUUAACGAAUUAAACCAAUUAUAAAAAUUUUUAGAAGUAUUAAAAAACAUGGGGAAAAAAAGUAGUUGCCAAAUUGAAGCACUUUUACUGAAAUUUCAAUUCCAACUGAUUUCAAAGGAAUCCAAAUCUGCUGACGACAGGGUCAUGUCAAAAAAAAAAUGCCAGUAAUUUCCACCAUUACUAGUAAAUAUUCAGUGGUAGCAAACCUCUGACGUGUUAAUACCUAUGCUCAGGGGUGGGGGGGGGGAGAAAAAAAAAGGAUAUAGAACAUACGUAGAUGGUUGUACUAAAUUAAAUAAUCCAUUAACACUACAGUCAAUUUUACUGAGUUGGACAGGAAGAAUGAGAGCAUUUAUGCGAAGAAAGACCAUAAUUUGGGCAGCUAAGGAAGACAGAGGGAGGGACUUGGGAGGACUGCAGAAGGUGAAUUAAUCCAUUACUGAGCAGGACAAAGCGGGUUUGGAAAGCAGCAGAAAGGAACCAGAUGCAGAUUUAAGCAACAAAAAUGUUUUAAGACCACAUUUCCCAAUACUCUUUAGGCAGGAAUGAUAUGGAGGACAGAAAAAAAUCCAGGCUCGACAGUUACAGCUGAGGGUUCUUUUUAGGGGAACAACAACGACAAACAUGAGGGAUGCGAAUACCCCAUUUUUACAAGGCUGGUGUGUAUUCUAGAAAUAGGUUAUUAUACAUUCACACCGUCUGGAGAUAGUUAUCUCAGAAACAGGGGUUACUGUAUUUUAGAAAGUACUGAUAUUAAGGCUGACUUCAUUAAUGUUCUCAAAGCCAGGCUUUCCACAGAAGUCUGGUUCUUUCAAUGUAAGGCAGUUUAAUUAAAAAUGGGGGGUGAAUUAAGUGGGGAAAGAGCUGCGAGAGUCCCCUUUCACCCUCACAGCACUCUUUCCUGAGCUAUUCCAGUGAAGCUUUUAUUAUAAUUUUUCCAUUAACCCGGCGUGCGCACACAUAUUUUAAGAGACCCCCACACACACAGGUACAAGGCUCGCCCCCGGGCAUGUGGGGAGACAGAUGUACGUAGGGGCAGUCGGAGCUUUUGGCGGGCGGGAGCUGCGGCAGCCCCGAGGCGGCCGUUGAGCAGCGCCCCGCAGCAGGCAGCACAAUGCGGCGGGGCGGCGCGCAGAAAACCUCCCGGAACCCCAGCAACAGCGGGCAAUUAGCAUAGCCUACCACCGCGCCGCCGCCGCCUGAUUGGGCGAGCCGGGCGGCGCGCGGGCCAAUGGCGCGGCGCUAUGCAAAUGAACUCCCCCCAGUUGCCAGGGCAGAGCUGCCGCCCGCCGCCCAAUGGGGAAGCGGGCGAUAACCGAGAGGCGAAAUGGAGCCGUGUCACGCUUCCAAGGCGCUGUUAACGCUUUCAAGUUCAAAGCCCAACCGCCGCGGCCGGCGACGGUUGGAGCCGCGCGCGACGCCGGGCGCCCGCGGCAAGGGCAGGGCAGGGCAGCCCCGCGCCGCCACAGCGCCGCGCCCCGCCCCGCGCGCCCCCAGGGCUGAGGCGUCCGAGCGCCCCGCGUAGACCCCGAGGGAGGCAGGGAGGGGAGUCUCGCCCUGCCUUGGGUCGCCUCACGCAGCAGCCCUAGGGGCUGCUGUAUCGGGACGCGCUGCCUCUAGCGCAGGACCCCCCCCCCUUUUCACAGCUAAUAAACUGCUGGUGUUUCAAAGUGGGAAAAGACUGAAGGAAGACCCUCCUUGGGUAUUUACUUCGCUGGCAGAUUUUAAAUAAAUGAGUUUCGGGGUGUUUGACUAAAUAGAACCGCCAGGUUCGGGACUAAGCAUAAGAAACGUAAGCAUGGUAAUGAGAAAUAGCCAAUUUCUUCCAUCACUUAGAAAUACCACCUAAGAGAACACUUGCAAUUAGUGUCUCUGCACACAGCAGAGCGAAUCCCCCAGGAAUACCAGCUCCUGACCACCGGCAGCCCCGACAUGCCUCAGAGCCGCCACUCCCCCCACACACAGAUGUGCGUUUUGAAACGGCCAUCCUUCGGUCCGCUUACAAUGGAGAAUCUAAACACAACGCCUGACAGACUUACUCUGGAAGCAACUGCCUCUCUGCAGAAGAAGAAGAAUGCAGCUGCACAGCCUGGCUCUGCACCGUGGGGCCUGUGGAAGCCGCCUGACACUGGCAACUGACAUCCGCUAUCCAGGUACAGAGCAGGUACAGGACCCGAAGCAGCAGCAGCAGCCACUGCCUGUGUUUCUCAAAGCCGCCCAGGGACUGUGACACUGCUCUGCCCACCAGGCAGCUGGAGCAGGACUAGGACUCUUGUCAGCCACUAGCCAGAGGCACUGCCAAAGAGUGCAGCAGCAGCAAGCAGAAGAGCGUUAUCUGACCAUCGGCUUACAAGAUUUUCCAAGCAAUCCAUCCUGGGCCAGUAUCUUGCAGCACUAAUCCUUCGGCUAGUCUGCUCAACUGCCCUCUCAAAUACUUUUAUCAGCAGUUAAGUAAGAAGAGUUCCUUGAGUUUGUGCAGUGUCUUUUCUCUUCCCCACCUCUAAAGAUGACAAAUAACAUUACUUACAAUUUCCAGUUCACAGUGCAAAACUAAAGACAGUAUAUAAAUUACCCGCUACGUGGCAACACAUCAAACCACACAACCUGUACAAGAGGCGAAAAACACCAAAAACUUUGCACCUAAGCAACGCCUAUGUCUAACAUGUAGCCCAAUGUCUAAACUUUACUUUUUAGAUUCAACAUAUAUUUCCAGCUGAACACAAUAUACGGCUGGCACGGAAGUGAAUCAUUUUUAAAGCUCUCCUUUAAUCUACAGUACAAAUACAUAUAUAUUAAAAAGGAAUCUUUUCCUGCUCAUAAAAACCAUCAAGGGAAAUAGAAUAAUUCAAGUCAUUUCCCAUUUGUAGUUACUGAGACACAAGAUAUAUUUAAACAGUUGGUACAGAAAAAAUGGAAAGCAUCUACCAUAUCAAUGUACAGCUAGCAUGCCAAACCAUUAAUGUAAGAGCUAAACAAGGGAUGAAUACAUCAUGUGCAAUAGUCUCACAUGAUAUAAAUUAUUCAAUACCUGACCAAAGAAAACAGCUUUCAGGAGAGAGGGGGAGGAUCUGAAAGUGCUUUUGUAGUUUGAAUAAAUACAGUAUUAUGAAUUGAUGACAAAUAUUCUUUUACAAAAGGGAAAAAAAAAUCUUCCUAACUCUACAGCACAGUUAAAUAAUCACGUUUAUUUUCAAACUAUUUCACUAAGUUAUGUCAAUCCAACUUGCAUUCUGUUGUUUACCAUAAAGGUUGAUUUCAUUUUAUACAGUGUUGAGAAUUCUGAAGGAAAACUAACUGUAAUAACGAAAUGAUUUUGUACAUAGCAUAAAUUCUGGAAACACAUGCUUGCCUCUGUCUCCUCCUUCCACUUGCAGGAUUUGGAUAAUGCAUAGCCCUAUUGAUACUGCCAAUCUUCUUGCUUUACUAAUUUCAGAUUGGCCAUACUACUCUAUUUAGGAUUGCUAUGCUGACAAAAAAAUUUAACAGGAUACUUUAAUUGAUUAUGUCAAAUAAAAGCCUUUUGUAGACUUAAAUAAAUGGACAAAAGGCCCUUUAAGUGACAAAUUUAAGAAGAAAAAAAAUCUACACCAUUGUAGGUUACACUGUGAUUAUGGGGAAUCUGCUGGCACAAGUAUUCAAGGGAAUGCCUUCCAGGGAUGAUUUCAUGUAUGAUCCUAAAAUAGUUUAUUUCACUCAAACAGAAGUUGAUAGUAUAUACUUAGUUUUGGCCGCUAACAUAGCGGUUAUUUUCUAUUUGGAGAUGGCAUACUAUUUUCACAUUCUGUAUUAAUAACAGAAAUUCUGAUACAUUUCCUAAAGGAAAAAAAAAAAAAAAAGAAUACUUGCAAACUCAUAAACAUGCAGUUCAUAUUAAUCCAUAGUAGUUUAUAAAAAAUAUAAGUCAAAAAGUUUGUUUACUCACUCCAAAGUACACUGGAAGAGCCAGGACUAUUUUAUUUUAUCCAAUAUUUACAAGUUUGAAGUUGUAACUAAAUCACUUUUUUACUGUGUUGUAAACAAUUUGACGGCUGAUAUUCUCACACUGGCAUGUUACAAUAGACAUCUCAAGCCAGUCCUUAUUUCCUGAGAAACUGCAUUCAGAUUUUUUAAAUCAUUAAACGACCAAUCAUUCCCCAGUAGAAAGCUCUAACGUUUCCAUAUCUAUCUAGUUACAAAAAAUAUAACUAAAAUCAAAAAUAAAGCUAUGUUUUCACAAGUACAGUGAAGCCUCACAAUUCCAAAGCACUUAUUUGAAAGACUAAUUUCCUACCUUUUAUAAUUUCUGUGUUUGUUAUACACACCUUUAAGUAAUUACUUAUUUUGAUUUGUCUCAUUUUGAAGUACUAGCUUUCAAUGAGGAAAAAAAAUUAUGGUUGAGUACAUGCUUGCUACUAGCAACCACCAAAGACAGUGAUGCCAGGUUUUGUUAAUCCAAACAAGAAUACAACCUCAAAGUGUUUGGGGUUCGCUGUAAAUUCAUUUCUCCUAAGCAGCACAAGUUUAAAAGCAGAAAUAAAAAAAUAAACUUCUACUGGUAUUCCUUUAGGACAAUACUAUGAUCUUAGAAAAAUAUUUUACAAGUAUAACUCACAUUUCCUGGAUAUGCUUCACUGGUUUUAGUAUAAACUAAGCAGCAUAUAUUUUAAAAAAUACAGUUAACUAUUAAAAUUUCCUUUUUUCAAACCAAUAAUUAGAACAACAUUAUUCAUGUACCAAAGUUGUACAAAUUGAUAAACUUCAAAUUUUGUCUACAUUCCCAUCUAAACACGUCUGUAAGUCUUAUUUUCUGGUUACAAAACCUCAGUAACCAGAGGAUGGAGUUCGUUUGCCAUGACAUGGCUCCUCCUUCCAAAAUAAGAACUCCACCUUUCUCCUCUAGGGGCAUUAUGGAAGACGCAGAAGGCAAAGACAAUGUGUUCCUAUCCCCCUGAUUAAAUUGUAGCACUUACGCAUUUCUUCCCCUCGCUCUGGUUGGCUUUAUAUACUAAUUCUCAAAACAAGUUACUGCGAGAGCAACCUGUCAGAUGCAUCUACAGCAUCAAUAUGGGAAGAAAGGCAAAGACAGCAAAGUACAUUCUGGCCACCCGAAAAGACAAUUUACUUCAAAGGCAGUGCAGAAAUGGUUAAAAAAAUAAAAGAACUCAUUCCACCAUUUCCUGAAGGACAUCUAAACUACACCAAAGAAAAUAUGACCAGGUGGUUUGAUAAAGCUUUGAGUUUGGUUUGGGUCUUUUUGCCUCCACAGAGGUGCAGAGGAAGGACAUUUCACCUAAGAAAUGAGUCUUGAAUGUUUUUAAGGAAAGGGGAUUAUGUAAAAAUGUUAAUCGUAUCCAAACACUAAAUGCUAAACAGACAAGCAAUUCUUCAGGGCUCGGCUAAUGACCAUGUUCUGUGAAAAGAUCAUCACAAGUUCAGUUUGUAGCAUAAACGCUAACAAAGUUCUAACCCCUGCAGGCUUUUAAUUCUUACGGAGCUUCAAACACAACUGUGCCAGUGGUCCGGUCAGAGUACCCUUCCAGUUCAUGAGUACAUACUGAACAUGACAUUUAUAGGCAUCGGACACAACUGUACUGCAAUGCAAAAGAACCGUGAUCUCCUAACAUGUCGUUUUACCUAGGGUCUAGGCAUUGCAAGUGAAGAAAAUGAAACAAUUAACAGGCAAUCUCUUUGUCUUAAAAGGUUAGGUACCCAUGCAUAUUGAAGCUUCAACGUUACAGUAAAUUCUAAAAGUGUGUUCUCAGUGAGAAAAGAGAAUGAAACAUAAUUGUAACUGAUUUAGAAACAAGAUCUUUUUUUCUUUUUUUAAGGCAAAAUAAGACAAAAAACCACCAUCCUUCUAAUUCCUUUCUAAAAACAAAACUUUCGAAUCCAAGCAGUAUUGUAAUAAGGCACAUUAUCUCUUCAGCCAUGCAUAGCAUGCUCUGUGGAAUGAAUGGGCAUAUAUAACCGCUUGCUGACAAAACACUCUGCUUCAUGGAUGGCAGGCAGCUACCAAAAGUGAGGACUUUGGCAAAUGCUCUCUUGGAGAUGUGCAUUUUAACAGCUCUUCUCUAGCAAGUAGAUGCUAAGGUAAGAGGGAAGAAUUUUGAAGUGCCCGCCUCCUCAUGACUGAAAAAGCAGACAUAUCAGGCUGCUGCCUAUAUUAAGCUUUUGUGGGAAAAGAUGCUUGAAAAGGGGUACAGAAGGAAUAUUACUGACAGCAGGAGCAUUAAUCAGAGAGGUUAUAAAACAAUCUUCAAAGUAAUAGGACUUUCUGCUACUACAGUGACGAAUUUCAGGGGGGAAAUAUAAUCAAAGCAUAGUUCUCUGUCAGCUAUAAGAUGUCUAAAAGAAAAUGAGCUGGGUAACUUAGUAUCCUCAUCUGGUAGACUGCCACUGAGCACAGCUUUUUACCAAGUCAUCUAAAGAGUUUAAAAUCCUUACCAGAAAAAAAAAAAGCGAUAUUGUUUAUCAUGCUCCACAGCCACUGCAAAAAAUAAGGAGCUGGUGCAGAAUAAGCAGAAAAAAUCCAAACCACUUGCUACUGCUUUGUAGCAUCAGUCAUUAUGCCAAGCAGUGGCAACACAUGAAGCUGAUACUUGCCAAAGCAUCUGGGUUGAAAGCGAUGCGGUGCUGUUCACUGGCAUUGCUGUACAAGCUAGCAGAAAAAUGUUUCAAAACGUCAGUCAAUCUCAGUCAGGCUCUUGAAGACUUCUACAGGACUUCACAGAAACGCUACACAUCUUAGCAACUUCUGAAAGCCCCAUCAAGCACAAAUAGCAGAUACCACAGAGAAGUUGCCCUCUUUCUUCCUCUCCCCCACAAAAGGGUAAACGGAGACUUCCUAGUGGAGAUUUCCUGUCCCAAAUACGACCAGGAACUAAAGGGAGUGGACAGAGAUUGCAAAACUGCCUUUAUUGUUAUUUGGGAGAAGGAAGCAUGGUAGACUCUUGAGACUGCUACAGUACUGGUUGAGCUGACUAGCCAGUGAUCCAGUGUUUCAAAAUGCCAGCAACAUUUAAGCUUUAUGCUACAGAAUGAGAAUCAUGUAAAAGUACAGCUGCACAGAGACUAAUGAUGAAGAAACAAUAUUAAAAAGGACUAAAGACAGAGACAGCAUUCUUUAUGUGCAAUUAUUUCAUUGUGGGCUGCACAACUCUAGAGAAGACCGAGAAUAACAUAACCUGACUUGUGUUCCUACAUAAGCAUGUCCCAAAGACCAUGGAGGAGGUGAUUCUCUGACAUGCUUAUGGCAUCAGAUAGAGAAAGAAUGCUAUAUCAUCUCAUUGGGCAUAAGAAACAAGUUCCUACUAGCCAUGAAGUCCCCAGUCAGCUUCACUUCAACCUCCAUAGAUUUUCAAGGGAAGUGAGGACCUCUGCAGGGAACCCCCAAGCACAUUCACUUCUUGCCACGGCACAGUGUUUUCUACAGACACACAAACUGUCAGCAGAUUGGCCCAGAGUUCAGUUGCAGAGACUUUUAAGUUUUGGUUGCACAUGUUGUUUUUCUUACAAAUGGGCCACCUCUACCAUACUCAUGGAUAUGACGCUACAGUGAACAUCUCUUGAAUUCUCAAUAGGCCUGACAAACACAGGAGACACCUCACAGGAGAAAGGGAGGUCGGUCUGGCCAUAAAGCAUGCCAAGAGGUCUGGUCCUGGGCACACCUCACAUUCCAAAAGGAGGCAGCACACUUUCAUGUCAAGGGGGGAACCCUUCCGCACAAGAAGGUGUCCGGAUAGAGUAGAAAAGGCUGUUGUAGGAGCCUGUGUUGAAGUUUUCACCUUCGGACUGCAAAGUUUCCUAUAUCUUGUCUGAAGAAGGAACAGGAAAGAACUGUGCAGUGGGAAGCACUAAAAUUCUUUUAUUUAUUUACAGAAAUCCAUGGUCAAAAAGUUUCAGUAUACUGGCAUAGUGACGAUACAGAGGAAAAAACAGUCAAAUAAUCUAACCUUGACACACAAAUAAAAUAAAUAUGAAAUAACAAGUAAAUAUGUCUGGGCUAAUGUGUGCCAAUUCAGAAUGUAAACUUUACAUUAAAUACUUUUAUUGGAAAAUAGCAAAAUACAUAAGUAAAUCUUAGAGCAACUGAAGUGUGUCAUUCCACCUCCCCCCCGGUUCCAUUUUUCCUUAUUUGCCUUUAUCUCUCACUGGACAUUCUUCCAUCAUUCUUUAUCACGGACAGCAGCAGAGCUACUGUCAUUUUUAAAGAAACCAGAGAAACACAGUUUCACAUAUGGAACAGAACUUUUCUCACCACUGACCAAAAUUCCUACUGAGAUAACAUGGAGCUCUGUCAUUUGGUUAUCACAGAUGUAAGGCUGUGCCAACCAAAGCUUUGACAAGCUCUUAAAUAGGAAUACAAAUAUAUGCAUAUAUGUCCCACUUCUAAUGACUUUCCAAGGAAUUUUUUUUUUUUUUUUUUUUUUUUAAGAACUGAUCAACUCUUGCAGGUAGUUGAUAUCUUCGAAUAGACUUCGGUAAAGAAAGAAAGAGAAGAUCUGUCAGAGGUCUCAUUAAUCCAAAAGGUGCAAUGCUUAAUUAUCUGAUCUUUGAUAAGAUUCAGCUGAUUCAUUAGAUAAACUACGAAGCUAAUCUUGAAAGGCAACCAAAUUCCUUUGUCUAAGUAGCCCGCUAGAUAGACUUGCUUAUUAGACACCAAUUCACUUUUCUCUAAAUUGAUCAAAAGGCUUAGAUAAGAGGGAGAUUAACCAUCUUCCUAAUGGUUUACUGCAGCCUCUUGGAAAGGCAAAGCUAUUGGUAAUCUGUUAUCAAGGAUAAGGUGGAUUUUUGAUGGCUAAAAGACAUUGCUACUAAUGUCAGAUAGGAGGGGGGGAAUACAAUGUAAACCAACAAGCCAUUGUAUUAAAAUUCUUUUAAAGCAUAACCAAGCUGUAAGUCAUGACCAAGUGUAUUUGCACAAGGCAAGAAUUCAAUUCUCUGCCAACCCUCUCCUCCUCUUACUGAAUUUUUCAUUGAAGUUAUAUAGUCUAUAGAUCACAAAGUUACAGGACACUAAUUAUUCAUGAACUUUCUUAAUAUACAUUGAGUGUUUCUGUGCACCUGAGUUGAAUACCUGUAGCCAGAGUGAAAGACGUCAAGUAGAAAGAUGCUGCUAUAGAUCUGGCAGUGUUUUUAACCCAAAUCUUUGCUCUAGACAAACUUAGCUCCCAAAUUCUAUUUAAGGAAAAUGCCUUCUAUUGAAAAAGUGAAAUAUUCAGCUAGCUACAUUUUGGUGGCACUUUCUUCUGAACAGAGUGUCAGAAUUUUUGCAGUUGGAUGGCAGCCGAUAGAGUCUGGAUUUCUCCCAAGAAAUAAUGAAGUUUCGCUUCUUGCCUUCCCCUGGAGCUCCACAUGCCUCCAGCCAUAGAAGAAAAAACAAACAAACAAAAAACCCAACAACUACUUUUUGCCUUUCUCAAGAUUCAAACAGUUGCUGCCUGGGGCCUUUUGCUACCAAUAUCUUUGUAGGAAUACAAAGCUGAACACAGCAUUCUAAACCGAAGUUGCAGAAUCUUCACUUGAAAAUUGACCAAUUGAUUUGGGUGUGAAACGGCGUCUUUUCCCGAGGAAAAUCUCUUUUCUUCAGAAGAAGAGUCAUGAAGACCCAUAAAGUUCAUAAACUCAGCCUAAGCCACAGAACAAGCACAACUUUACAGAUAUAAGUUGUCAGAAGAUGGGAGAAAACAGAACUUUCAUAGAAAUCCUACAGGAAAGCAACACAAAAUUCUCUCGGGCUUUGUAAGUGAGAAUGAAGCAAAGGAAUAUUUCUGCGUCUCCAGGUCAGUAAGAAAUGGUUAUAUCCAUAUAUAUUUUUAUAUAUAUCUCUAUAUAUAGCAAAAGGUAAAACAUCAGCAUUUUCUUUGUUGUGACCAAGCAAUGUUCUUCCGUAACAGUAAGUCCAAAGGCAAAGGAGAAAGAACUCUGCCUGUCCUUCAUUAAGGACUAGCAGAGAACAGUGGACUUAAUAGUCCCGUACACAUGGGACCAGCAGCUAUGUACAUCUAUACUAGCAGAUUCAGCUGGGCCAAGGAGGGUUCCCGAGCAAAAGGACAACAAUCUGCUCUGUUCGUACAAUGUUAGGGCAUUCAGAGCAUCCAUUCCAACUAGCAACUCUUCCCCAGCAACUCCCGGGAAUGUGUGGCAGUCAGCAUGUUCCAGGAAUCAUUCCCAAUAUGCAGCUUUCAGGCAGCCACCCAGUUUUACAGGCUAGGACAGUUAACUAGCACAGAUGUGCGUGCUGCUCCAUGGGGUCAGUGACUGGGAACAUGCAAUUUACUAACAGAGAAUUGGGCAUUUUUGUCUGUAAGUUUUGUUUUUUCUUCUUAAAUCUCUUCUGACUACAUCUGCUCUUGCACCUCCUUUUGGUGUACUUCUCAAAUACUGUGACUUAUCUGUCCUGAGAAAAUCUCCUUCCAAAUAGUGAAACCAGGGAGAGACGGGGAAAAUAAAUAAAAAGCUAAUGGCUCUAUCAAACAACUGCACAGUGAGAUCAAAGGGCAAGAACAAUUAGUUGAUAAUGAGGAUCACCAAGCUCAAAACAUAUACAUGCAAACUACAUACAUACUUCACAAACUAGUCUAAAUACAAGUGCACAAGACUACCUUGUGUUUCGUUUUUUCACUUAUUUGCCAGAAUCAUCUGGUAGAAUCAAAAUUUUCCUUUGACAUCUCAAAAUGGCAAUUACGAAGAACUAAAUUUUGGGGAACACUCCAGAGAUGUGAACAUUUAGCUUAAAAGAAACAUUAGCUUUUGUAAAACACUUUCUGAGACUAAGCACCAGCAAUACACUUUAUACGGUAUGGAAAUAUCAUUUUACAUAUGUAUGUCAAGAAUUACUCAGCACUGUAAAAUGAUUACUUAAUUUUAUAACAGAAAAAGUUUAGAAAUGCAUAACUUACCUUUAAGAAACAAGAGGAAAUUGAUUAAUAAAAUAAUGCUUUUUUUUAAAAUGAUCUUUAAGGAGUUAUAUGGCACUUAUAGCACCACCUUAAAAUAAGAAUAGGAAACACUACCUAAAACAAAGUUGCAAAUGAAAGUAUGAUAGAGAUUUGUUGUUUUUCAAAAAUGUUUUGAUAAACUUCAGUAAGUAAAAAACUUCGAAGUGCAAACUCACCCUUGUAUUCCAAGCCAGCACAAACCCUCCAUAUUAGUGGAAGGUAAACAAGUAUGUUUACCAGGCCUUUUUUUUUUUUUUAAUAUGCUCAAUUAGCUAAACUGUCUUUUUUUAAAUAUUUUUAAUAGGCUGAUCUAAUAGACUUAGGCCAAUAUUCCACAUUAAGAUACCACUUAUCAUUUUUACAUUUGCUCUAUCUCCCAUAGAAGGAUUUUCAUCUAUUUCUGAGGCAUUACUAACACAGCAAAACUUGCACUAAUAACAGACAGAUGAAAACAUACAUACUUUUACAAAUAUACGAAAGCUUGCAAUCUCAUUUCAAGCCAUCUAGACAUUUUCACUGUCCUUGAAGAAGCAUGAAGAUGAAUGAGCUAGCUACACUAAGCUACCAUUAAAAAAAAAUCAUCAAAAUAGGGUUGUAUUCAUCCCACUUCUUGGGCUUCUUAUAAUUUCUGUUGUCCGUACAGAGAUCUUCAUGUAUUGUCAGAAAUGGUUAUUUACUCCUCUGGAAUGGUGAGAAAGCCCUGAGGAACUGGACAAUAAUCACAGUAUUACAAUGCUUCUUCUCUAUUCAAAUGCCUUACUGCCUACAUAACCAGGUAAAACAUAGCUUGUGUCCACAAACCAGGUAAGAACGAAAUCAACUUCACCCACCUUUGCAGACCUGAUCAUUCUACCGCAUUUUCUGGAGAGCACGUGUAUUGAUCCUUCUGCAUUAUAUUUCAGAGGCAGUGGCAAGAUCAUUGCGGGAUAUUGACCUCAAAUAGGCAAGAUGCAUGAAUACAAAAACCAAAAAUUCUGAGAUGUUAGAAAAGAUGCAGUAAGACAAGGUAACAGUGUUGGAUUGUGUACCAAACUUCACGUUGGAGUCUAUGUUCACACAUGAAGUGGAUUCAAUAAGACAAUGAAAUGUUAGUGAGUUUGUAGAAAUUUCUUCUAAGAUUUGCUGAACUUCUUUGAAACGGUCGAUGUAAGAAUAAAGAAACAGGUCAUAGCAUAAGCUACCAACCUGAGGGAACAUAGGCUUAAAAAUAAAAUAAAAUCUUAAAGAUCAGAAAGUUGAGACACGACAAAAAAAAUACAGAAGAACUAGAACUAACUGGUACAAGCAGAACUUAGUACCAUGCAUGUAUCCUCAAUUUUUAAAGCACUCUUAAUAAUUAGUUUGUUAUGGAAACACAGGCACCAACAGAUUGCCAUGGCUGGGGGCAGGAGGCAAGGUGGAAAUCGAGAACAAAUCUCUACAUCUGAAACAAAAUUACUGCCUCCUGUUCCAUCUUUAUAGCAAAUAUGGUAGAGAGCUGUCCCUAUCCGCAAUACAAAAAGAAAAUCUAGAUCUUCAAAGUUAUUUAGGUACUUAACUCACUAAAACGUCAACAGUAAUUAGAUCCAAGUAUUAGUGCAGUGCUGGGCCUCAGAAACAAGGCCUCAGAAUAUCACAUCAGUCGAUCAACAUAUGUUGUGGUGCAAAUUAUCCACUAACUUUGUUGCCAAGAUAACUGAAAGGUCAAAACAGCAAAUUUCAUGUCUUACCACCAUUCAUAAAAACAAAUGAUUGUUUCUUGCUCUCUAAUCUAAUCAUUGCCCAUAACAGUUUAUCAACAAAUAUGCAAUUUUGAAAAUAGAACAUCAAGAUGAAAAUCUGAGAAUUAAACAUUCUCAGCUUCAAGUUAUUUUCCAAGUUUAAUUAUUUUCCCUAAUAGAGAAGGUUUUAACUAGACCCACGUAGAUUAUGCUUGAACUGCAUCUAGUGACAUAAAACAUCUGAUAAAGAUGCCCUUAAAUUGUCUUAUAGAAUUAUCCAUAUUAACAAGCAUGGAUUGUUGAUUGCAUAUUAAGACACAGAAAUCAUUGUACAACCUGGUGAGAGGAACAGGAACACUUACUCCCCUACAUACGUCCAGGUGAAAAGCUCCACAAUCAAGUUUUAGAUGAUCCUAUGUUUAUUCCACAAGCUGGUAAUAUACCAGCUUGGUGUAGCAGUUGGCAUCAAGCUAUCAGAAUGAGCACAGUCACCACUGCCUGAAGUAACAUUUUAUAUAAAAGUACUAAUAACUGUAUAUCAAGGGAUGAACUGAACUGACUAAAAACAGAGAAACGGCAGUUUUUAAAGAUGCCACAAUGCCCAAUUUCAGCAAGAAACAUGAACAGUAUUUACAUAGUUCCUCCAUCCUACCUACGUGAUAAAAAAGCACCAGCAGAAUCCCUAUUAGGAACUAUCAAGUACUACUAAGGGCAGGCUCUUAAGAAAGCCAUCCUAGGGCUUCUCGCACUGUACCUUGAAACCUAAGCCCUAAAGAAUAUAACUGUUAUGAGAUGGAGAGAGAGGACAUUUACAUCUGAGUGCAUAAUUUAUAAAAUAGGAGGCACUAAGGAAUUAGAGAAGUGCAUGCUUAACUCAAGCUACUAUUAAGGCUUGUCUAGUGCUAGAACUAGUCCAAACUGAUGAGUUUAGGGUAUUCCGCCUCCACAGAGAGCAAACCCAAAUAAAGCUAUUGCUGCGUGCUGGUACCAAUGGAAGAUUUCAACCCCAGGAUGUAGUUUAGGAACACAACGCUUGAGACAUGAUUCUUAGAAAGCUGUAAAGGGCAAGCUCCUGAACUAGCACUGCCUGGUGCUGAGUUCAAGGGAAGAAGCUCCCUCUGUACCGAAACUGCUGGUCCCUCUGCAGGAGGCACAUGGCUGCGUGUCACCUCACAGCCCCUGCCCCACUCCUAGCAGCCCUCCAAUGCCUCCAAGCUAGGCAAACAAAAUCACUUUGUGAAAGAAGUUUGCUUCUCCAAGCACACAAACAGGACAAAAAAGCUCUGUCUGCUGUACAGCAUGAAGCAUAAAGCACAAAUGCUCACACUUGCAAACGCCAGAGCCAGAAAGUCACCGUGAUGUAGCACAAUGCCGAGUACAUUAACAGCUCUAAAUGCAGUCUGGCCACCACAAGAACCUUUACUUCUCAUUCACGAGCUGAACACUCCGACACCACAGGUGACUCUUCAUUACAGCUGCUCAUCUAGUGACUUUAAGGGCUUUAGAAAGACUUUGUAUCUGUAGUAUUAUGUUCAUCGUAGACCGCAGACAUUCUCAGUGGACUGAGCAAAAAUUCUGGAAAUAGGUAAACACUUCCUACACAUAUAACAACUUUUAUAAUAGUUAAGAUCAUAACUCUUAAUCUGAACUUUUGUUCAAAAUCAAAUAUUUGCUCAAGUCUAAAUGAGUCUUUGCUCUUAGAAAUAGGUAACAGAAAUAAACUUCAGCCUUACCAUAUCACUAAAGCUCAACUGUUUAUCCUCAUUCUGAGAAAAUGUCCUCAUCACUUAAUACUUUGCUGAAAGUACUUCAAAAAAAAGUUUGUUUUUAAAAAGAUGGCCACAUAAAUCAGGAUACACAAUUACUGUUCCAAGGUAUUAAAACUAUAGAUGUGUAUCUUUAAGACAUUUACAUCUGAAGCAUUAUGGAGCAACAUGAAACUUCCUGAAGUGCAUGCUUGAUCUGACUCCUGUCCCCUGAUGGUCCAACUGAGCUGACAACACCGCAACUCCACCAAGACGGCAGAAGGAGGAUCAGCUACAGCAGCUGAACUCUGUAUGCCUCCCUCUCCCUGCUCCUCCAAGGAAGGCAGCUGCUGUUGGCUCCGCCAUCCAAGGCCCCCACAAGCCCCACGGAGUAUUCGUGUCAACCACCCCCAACCCACAGCCUAAGAACGAGUAUUUUGAUUCAUUCUGCUGCAAGGCACAAAUGAAAGUUCCAGUGGUAGCAAAAACCCGAGACAACCACUAACAUACCUUUCUACAGGAAUUCAAACCUAUCAGAGUUGCUCUCUCUUAAGGGGAAGCAAAUUAAAUAAAAACCAAAACCUCUAAAGAUUUUCUAUUUCAGAUGGUUCACUCUGUUCCUAAAUAAGAAAAGUAGCAUUCUCUAUAAAGGGCAGACUUCCACAACAAAACCCAGAAACAGCCGGGUUUUUUUAAAUCAUUUGUUUCCUCUUUGGGGAGGACUGAGGCUGAGAAAUUCAAUCUAUAUCGCAGGUACUAAGCAGUUCUGGAGGAGGGGAAAAACUUUUUUUUUUUUCCCUAAAUAGGCAACUUCUUUUUAAAUAUGGAUGCAGAAAUCUAACUUUAGCUGUCCAGGUUUUCACAUUUCUGAUCUCAGAUGCAGAAAGUAGAGCAUUAAUCUAGUCUCUUGACUUCAAGGUUAUCAUUCAUUGAGGUCAAUGACUCCAUCUCUGAAAAGCAGAACUUCCACUUUCAGCGUGGUAACUGUUGCCUUUCAGUAAGCAACUGUGUUCAACUCCUUUCUGCCUGCUUUCUCACAGCUGCUGGCAGAAAGCUAACAGCCAGAAAGACAGCACGAACAGCUCCUGCUAAGGGAGUUACCUAUGUAAAAACAGUGGUUAACUCUAAAAGCAUUCUUAUUCAUGCAAAGAGCUCACUAGCCAUCUAUGUUUAAAACUAAUACUGCUAAUAAGCAACCCUGUCUCUUACAUUAUUUUCUCGGCAUCUUCCUUUUGGGGGAUGAAAAUGAAAAAAACCUGCACGCUCAAGACCUGAAUAGCCGAGACCGACUGCCUGUAUCGAGAGAGUUAAACAUGUGACAAAGUUACUGACAGAAUCAGUCCAACUGGAAUAAAAGUCACCAACCAGAAACAAAACCAGAACCAGCUCAUGCCAUGCUUCAGCAUGGAAUUAGCUCAUGGGCCAAAGAUUUGCUCCUUUUUAAUCCGAUUCUGGUUUUAUGCCAACAGCACGUACAUCUCACAAAAGGGACUCCAGGUAUGCAAUUACCUAAGUGGAACCACAGAUAGUAGCAUGUUCAUCAGUUCCACAACAACUAAAUCCAGGUAAGCGAGAAAAAGGUGAUGCCCUACUAAGUUUCUGACAUUUCCUGGAAAAAGUUGAAACAGCACUAAACAAACUACCUCAAAGGCUGAUUGGCAAAUCUAAUAUAAUGUAAAACAUGGAAACUUCCAAAUAAAGAGCAGCAAUAUUAGACAGUUUUCUUCUGAUUACACUUUUUUAAUGACUUUUUUUAGUGUUUUUUUUUUUUUGUAUAUUUGCUUUCAAUACUCACAUAUGAAACAUGCUUUAAAACAGUCAUAGUUUAAUGAAAUCUGUAGCUGAAUUAUUAUGGUAUAAGACAUGAGUCAUGGCCCAAUUCUAAAUCUUCAUUCUACUCUUACAUAAACCUAACACCUGAAUACUUGCAAGAGUCAUCCUGAUCCAAGAACUUCCCCAAAGUCUUUAUUCUCAUUUGUUAAAUUUUAAUAAGCAAUGCAACUGGGGAAAAAAUAGCUAUAACGUAACCAUUUACUAUUUCAUUGUUCUAGCACUGUUGCUAUUGAGUAGUAUUGGAAUGGGCUUUUUUUUUUCUUCCAUUUUCCAAACACAAACGUUAUUUUUAAAAGGUUAAGAACAAUAGGAUCACUUCCAAUGUUUCUUCAAACUUGAAUAUAACAUUUUCACAUUCCCUAUCACUUGCUUGAAUAUCAACAUCUCUGGUGUGUUCAAUAUAAUUUCACAAUGAACACAAGAAUUUGAUAAAAUUAUUUUGAUGUUUUCAGCAUGAAUGAUGUUUUUCAGGCAUAUCCAUGAAAAUGUGAAUGUGUUCAAAAUGAAGUUAAUAUAUGAUAAAUUCUAGUGCACAAUUAAAGAUAAAAUAACCAUUCUACACUUCUUUUUAAUGAUGUUACAUGAUCAAACCUCUGGAUAAUAUCACGUAGGCACAAGAAUUGAACAAAAUAUUAUAGAAAAAAUCGAUAUAAAACAUAACUGAUAAGUUAUCCUAUUUCCUUGCUGCCCUUAGCAUACAGAAAUGCCCCAAUGUUGUUCAAUGGUCUUGUGGGAGACCUAAAUCAGGAAGAAAUAUCUGUUGUGUUUUAGUAUAAAAUUCAUCGCCACCAAAAAGCAGUUCAGGACACGCAGCCAUGCAAUGUUUUCCUUCCCUUCUGCUGUCAAGAACAGCACUUCUCCAACAAUAACUGUUACCAGUUACUCUGAGAGGAUCAGCAUGUCGUGAUCGAUUCCUUCAGAAUGGAUCCUUCCGGAUCUCAUACGUCUGGUUUAGUAUAUUUACACUGGUCCCCUAUACACUCAACUGAGAGGCAAGUCCUUUUCUGGCACAGGUCAAGAAAAGACAACAGGCUUUAAGCUCUUCAAAAGCUUAAAAGAUCAGACAGUUAAUUAUUCUUAAUUAUAUAUUCCUAGGCCACAGCUAACAAGAAAAAUCAAAGCCAAAACAAGGAAGUUCUUUGUUUUAAAACCAAUCCAUUUUUAUUAGAUAGCCUCUACAAAGAGAGGGAAAAAGUACCAAGAACAACAACAAAAAUAACACCACAGUUCUAUUCUACUUGGCAGGUGCAGCACAAGACGUGGCAAUCGAUUUUAAAAUAUUAACUUUCAAAUGCAAGAUCAAUCCUUGCUUGUACGUACACAGCACAAUCCCAAAUCUGAUGCUACCACACUAUAAAAAGUAAACACUUGCUAGUACAAUUAUCAGCAUAGUGGUAUAACUACCACUGUAAUGGCAGCAAUAGCAUUGCACUUACGGUUCCAACUUUUCAGACACUGCUCUGGAAGAGACUGACUCUCAAAGUAGUAAAAAAAAAACACAAAAGUACAUAUUCUGAGAAUACACUUUUAACACAAACCUCAUUCUAAGGCAUCACCUUUGUUAUUAUCACCUAUUUGUAAUGCACAAUCAUGUCUGAAAUAUAAAUUUAGCUCUUCCUACAAUGAACUGAAUGCCCAGCUUUGCUUUUUGCAGAGUACUUCACAGAAAAUCCAUAUAAGUCCUAUAAAAUCUUUAAGUUAGCAAGACUGACAAAAAGCAAUUCUUGAAAGUCUUUUAGUCCUCCAAACAGUUCCCUUCUCUGAUUGUGUCCUACAUAGCACAGGUGCUAAGAACACAGCAAAAGACCCCUCUCUCCUUUCUGUGACAAUGAAACACAUCACCAUCUUUAAAA